AGCAGUGGCUGGAACAGGUUCAGCUGUCUGAUCUCUACAAAUUGCUUUGUAAUGCAGGGAUACAAGAUCUGGAUGUGCUUUUACAUGUGAGCAGUGAUGAACUAGAAAGAGCAGGAAUCAAGAAGGAUAACAUAAGCAGACUAAUGACUGCAAGUGACAUGUUGAAAUCGGGUGCAUCACCUUCAAAGGGUGUACUAUAUACAGCUGAACGUGGCUAUUGUCAAAAGGAUGAUUCCGAAUUGACAAUCGAGAAAGGUGACAAAGUUUUAGUAACUGACAUGUCAAACAAGCACAG